rnacentral:rRNA from 1 species
UACGGGGGGGGCAAGCGUUGUUCGGAAUUACUGGGCGUAAAGGGUUCGUAGGUGGCCAACUAAGUCAGACGUGAAAUCCCUCAGCUUAACUGGGGAACUGCGUCUAAUACUGGUAUGGCUUGAGUGCAGGAGAUGAACGCGGAAUUCCAGGUGUAGCGGUGAAAUGCGUAGAUAUCUGGAGGAACACCGGUGGCGAAGGCGGCGUUCUGGACUGCAACUGACACUGAGGAACGAAAGCCAGGGGAGCAAACGGG